GCACUACUGAGGAGUCCCACAAUAGGUCGAAACAGCCGUCCAGUGC
rfam:Schistosoma margrebowiei strain Zambia genome assembly, scaffold: SMRZ_contig0001527